rnacentral:rRNA from 1 species
AUUGAACGCUGGCGGCAUGCUUUACACAUGCAAGUCGAACGGUAACAGGCCGCAAGGUGCUGACGAGUGGCGAACGGGUGAGUAAUGCAUCGGAACGUGCCCAGUCGUGGGGGAUAACUACUCGAAAGAGUAGCUAAUACCGCAUACGAUCUAUGGAUGAAAGCGGGGGACCGUAAGGCCUCGCGCGAUUGGAGCGGCCGAUGUCAGAUUAGGUAGUUGGUGGGGUAAAGGCUCACCAAGCCAACGAUCUGUAGCUGGUCUGAGAGGACGACCAGCCACACUGGGACUGAGACACGGCCCAGACUCCUACGGGAGGCAGCAGUGGGGAAUUUUGGACAAAGGGCGCAAGCCUGAUCCAGCAAUGCCGCGUGCAGGAAGAAGGCCUUCGGGUUGUAAAAUGCUUUUGUACGGAACGAAACGGCUCUGGUUAAUACCCGGGGCUAAUGACGGUACCGUAAGAAUAAGCACCGGCUAACUACGUG